AACACGCCGCACACGAAUUUGCUAUGGACGGUACCAGAUCUUCGGUUCUGGCGGUAGGCUCCCGCUGCGUCAUCAUGAGCCAGCCCACGGUGAAUUUACUAAAACGGUGACGUCUUCCGCUGUGGUCAGCUUGUACAUAUAUAAUAUUUGUUAUAUGAGGGAAGAGUAUAUGUAUUUACCCCAUCUAUUAAUAAUAUAAAACUAAUAUCUAUUAACACACGCAGAUAUGGAACAGUCCAUCCCUAGGCGCAGGUGUCAUCCCUCGACUGAAACCUUCAAAUGCACACAUAGAAAAAGUAACGGUAAGUCAGCCAAUGCAAAGCGGACAGAGAGGCCGCCGCAAAGUGGGUGAAAGAAGAAGAGAACCCCAUAUUCAAAAUGUUAACAAAGACAGUCGAUGGGGACAUUGGGAAUCGGUGUUUUGCGCCGUUCAGGAUAAGUUAAAAAUCAGGAUCAGCUCUUAGAUCCGUCAGCCGUCGAGUUUUGUGGGCAAGAAGCCAGUCCAUGGAUAAAUUAGAAUUCGAUUUUGUAUGUGUGUUAUGUUCUGCAGUUUAACAAGUAGUUCCAUUGUACUAGUACUAGUUUUAGUUGUUACAUUGUCCAUCUGCGAUGCUCCAGACAUAUGUUGGCCACAUCCUGUACUGUGUAUGGACGGCUAGGAGUUCGGAAGCAAUUUAUGGCGUUCUGCCUGCAUAUUUUUCAUAAAUUUAAAAAUGCAUAUUUCGUUAAAAUCCAA